AAGUGCACAAGGGAGCUUGACUGUGAGACAGACAUGUCGAGCAGGGACGAAAGUCGGGACUAGUGAUCCGGCACCACCUGGUGGAAGGGGUGUCGCUCAACGGAUAAAAGGUACCCCGGGGAUAACAGGCUGAUCUUGCCCAAGAGUCCAUAUCGACGGCAUGGUUUGGCACCUCGAUGUCGGCUCGUCGCAUCCUGGGGCCGGAGUAGGUCCCAAGGGUUGGGCUGUUCGCCCAUUAAAGCGGCACGCGAGCUGGGUUUAGAACGUCGUGAGACAGUUCGGUCCCUAUCCGCCGCGCGCGCAGGAGACUUGAGGAAGGCUGUCCCUAGUACGAGAGGACCGGGACGGACGAACCUCUGGUGUGCCAGUUGUCCCGCCAGGGGCAUGGCUGGUUGGCUACGUUCGGAAGGGAUAACCGCUGAAGGCAUCUAAGCGGGAAGCCUGUUCCAAGAUGAGGUCUCCCACCCCCUUCGCGGGGUUAAGGCCCCCAACAGACCAUUGGGUUGAUAGGCCAGAGAUGGAAGCACAGCAAUGUGUGGAGUUGACUGGUACUAAUAGGCCGAGGGCUUCACCAC
rnacentral:rRNA from 1 species